GAGAUAUUAGUAAAAUCAUUACAUAACUUUGUCAAAGUUAAAUCAUAGACCAAAACUCUAUAUAUCUUA
rnacentral:tRNA from 1 species